rnacentral:rRNA from 1 species
AGUGAACGCUGGCGGUAGGCCUAACACAUGCAAGUCGAACGGCAGCACAGUAAGAGCUUGCUCUUACGGGUGGCGAGUGGCGGACGGGUGAGGAAUACAUCGGAAUCUACUUUUUCGUGGGGGAUAACGUAGGGAAACUUACGCUAAUACCGCAUACGACCUACGGGUGAAAGCAGGGGAUCUUCGGACCUUGCGCGAUUGAAUGAGCCGAUGUCGGAUUAGCUAGUUGGCGGGGUAAAGGCCCACCAAGGCGACGAUCCGUAGCUGGUCUGAGAGGAUGAUCAGCCACACUGGAACUGAGACACGGUCCAGACUCCUACGGGAGGCAGCAGUGGGGAAUAUUGGACAAUGGGCGCAAGCCUGAUCCAGCCAUACCGCGUGGGUGAAUAAGGCCUUCGGGUUGUAAAGCCCUUUUGUUGGGAAAGAAAAGCAGCAGGUUAAUACCCCGCUGUUCUGACGGUACCCAAAGAAUAAGCACCGGCUAACUUCGUG